rnacentral:rRNA from 1 species
GAUGAACGCUGGCGGCGUGCCUAAUACAUGCAAGUCGAGCGAACAGACGAGGAGCUUGCUCCUCUGACGUUAGCGGCGGACGGGUGAGUAACACGUGGAUAACCUACCUAUAAGACUGGGAUAACUUCGGGAAACCGGAGCUAAUACCGGAUAAUAUAUUGAACAGCAUGGGUCAAUAGUGAAAGACGGUUUUGCUGUCACUUAUAGAUGGAUCCGCGCCGCAUUAGCUAGUUGGUAAGGUAACGGCUUACCAAGGCGACGAUGCGUAGCCGACCUGAGAGGGUGAUCGGCCACACUGGAACUGAGACACGGUCCAGACUCCUACGGGAGGCAGCAGUAGGGAAUCUUCCGCAAUGGGCGAAAGCCUGACGGAGCAACGCCGCGUGAGUGAUGAAGGUCUUCGGAUCGUAAAUCUCUGUUAUUAGGGAAGAACAAAUGUGUAAGUAACUAUGCACGUCUUGACGGUACCUAAUCAGAAAGCCACGGCUAACUACGUG